UAAAUAUAUAUAGUAAUUAUAAUUAAUUAUACAAAAAUCAGAAAUCACAUUACAUCGCUACUUCCAUUGAUCGGCAACAAUGUGAGCCAAAUCCACGACCCUUUGGGAGUAACCCCACUCGUUAUCAUACCAAGCAAUCACCUUAACCAUGUCGUCUCCCAUCACCAUUGUUAGUGAUGAAUCGACUGUUGAGGACACAUCGCUGCACCUGAAGUCAACUGAAACAAGUGGCUCAUCACAGACUGAUAGGAUACCCUUGAGCUCCUUCUCAGCACUCUCUCUAAAACCUUCAUUCACCUCUUCAGCAAAGGUCUUCUUGGAGACCUGGACAACAAGGUCGACCACCGAGACGUUUGGGGUGGGAACACGCAGGGCAAUGCCGUUGAGUUUACCCUUAAGAGUGGGAAGGACGAGGGCCACUGCCUUUGCUGCACCGGUUGAUGUUGGAACAAUGUUAAGAGCUGCAGCUCUUGCACGUCUGAGAUCACGGUGGCUAGCAUCAAGCAGUCUCUGAUCUCCAGUGUAUGAGUGAGUGGUAGUCAUGGUGCCCUUGAUGAUGCCUGUCACAGGUUGUCAUUCAAUUUCCAUGUUAUUAAGGCAUUUUUGUUUCGUUAAUUACUAGAAAUGCGCAACCAAAUUUAUUACAAGGUUUGCUGUGUCUGUGACUGUUCUUCUUUUCAGCUACUACAUAUUGCCUACUAGCUCUCAAUUACAACUGCGAAGUUGUGUUUGCUCAAAAGCUCAGGAUUUAAAGUUUGCAGCUCUUAACAUACAUGGAACGCUAGAGCUUUUCGAUUGACAGGAAAGUGGCAAAGAGACAGAUUAAUGAGGAAAGGGAAAGUGUCAAUAGAUUUAAUUACCAAACUUGUGGUCUAGGACCUUGACGAAGGGAGCAAGGCAGUUAGUGGUGCAAGAAGCAUUGCUGAUGAUAGGUUCAUCAGGGUUUGUAGGCGUCAGCAUUGACUCCAACAACGUAGGUUGGUAUAUCACCCUUUCCAGGGGCUGU
rnacentral:lncRNA from 1 species